rnacentral:rRNA from 1 species
GAGUUUGAUCCUGGCUCAGGACGAACGCUGGCGGCGUGCUUAACACAUGCAAGUCGAACGAGACCCCACCUUCGGGUGGGUGUUCUAGUGGCGAACGGGUGAGUAACACGUGGGCAACCUGCCCCCGGCUCUGGGAUAACUCCAAGAAAUUGGGGCUAAUACCGGAUAUGACCGCUGACCGCAUGGUCUGGUGGUGGAAAGUUUUUCGGCUGGGGGUGGGCCCGCGGCCUAUCAGCUUGUUGGUGGGGUAGUGGCCUACCAAGGCGACGACGGGUAGCCGGCCUGAGAGGGUGACCGGCCACACUGGGACUGAGACACGGCCCAGACUCCUACGGGAGGCAGCAGUGGGGAAUAUUGCGCAAUGGGCGGAAGCCUGACGCAGCGACGCCGCGUGGGGGAUGACGGCCUUCGGGUUGUAAACCUCUUUCACCCACGACGAAGCGAAAGUGACGGUAGUGGGAGAAGAAGCACCGGCCAACUACGUGCCAGCAGCCGCGGUAAUACGUAGGGUGCAAGCGUUGUCCGGAAUUAUUGGGCGUAAAGAGCUCGUAGGCGGUUCGUCGCGUCGGCUGUGAAAACCCGGAGCUCAACUCCGGGCCUGCAGUCGAUACGGGCGGACUUGAGUGUUGCAGGGGAGACUGGAAUUCCUGGUGUAGCGGUGAAAUGCGCAGAUAUCAGGAGGAACACCGGUGGCGAAGGCGGGUCUCUGGGCAACUACUGACGCUGAGGAGCGAAAGCGUGGGGAGCGAACAGGAUUAGAUACCCUGGUAGUCCACGCCGUAAACGGUGGGCGCUAGGUGUGGGGCCAUUCCACGGUCUCCGUGCCGCAGCUAACGCAUUAAGCGCCCCGCCUGGGGAGUACGGCCGCAAGGCUAAAACUCAAAGGAAUUGACGG